GUAGCGCCGCAGGAGAAGCCUGACGGAGCAAUGCCGCGUGGAGGUGGAAGGCCUACGGGUCGUCAACUUCUUUUCUCGGAGAAGAAACAAUGACGGUAUCUGAGGAAUAAGCAUCGGCUAACUCUGUGCCAGCACCCGCGGUAAUAGAUGA
rnacentral:rRNA from 1 species